GGGGGCGUACUGGUUUCGACCUGGACGACCCGUCAAUGGCGGCAUGCCGAGGACGAUCCGUUGGCCUCGUUAAUCAUCGGGUCAAAAAUCGACUGCCAACGAAGAAAUGGCACUCGCAGCCUAAUUAGGCUGUGACGUCUCCCGGGGACACCUGCUUACCGGGUCGGACGCCGAAGCAGGUUAGGCAGGGGACGGAGACUGCGCGUCACCUGCCGAGACAAUUCCAUGCGGACUACGCGGCGCGAUUCUUGUCGGGGUGUUAUCGCGCGGCGGAAUACUCUCCUCCGACUAAGCAUGUAGGCGCUACUGGCGGACCGACCACGGGACGCGGGUUCAACUCCCGCCGCCUCCACCA
rnacentral:tmRNA from 1 species